CUUCCCUGUACACACUCUCCUUUUCUGUCCUCUCUUUCCCACCUCUAUCAUGUGCUUCCAAACCAUUCCGGUUGUCUCUCGACGACGCUCUACGGUCACACGCAGACGGCAACGCAAUGUUGCUAACCUGCAUCCUAUCUCUACAUCCUCUACUACACCUCUUUCUUUCUCUAUGGGUCUCUGGAAUUGUCAGUCAGCUGUCAACAAAGCAGACUUCAUUUCUUCUUUUUCUUUAAACUCCACACUUAGCAUCUUGGGCUUGACUGAGACCUGGAUUCGUCCAGAAGACUCAGCAACCCCAGCUGCUCUUUCGAACAAUUCCUCUUUCUCUCAUACCCCCCGUCAGGUUGGCCGGGGUGGGGGCACUGGUCUGCUCAUUUCUAACAAUUGGAAAUACUCAACCCACUCUCCCCUAUGCAAUUACAACUCAUUUGAAUCUCAUGUGAUCACUAUAACAGCUCCCGUAAAACUCCAGGUUGUGGUAAUUUACCGCCCUCCUGGGCAAAUUCUAUCCACCUUCCUAGAAGAGCUGGAUGGGCUGCUGUCCUCAUUCCCGGAGGAUGGCAGUCCACUUUUAGUCUUUGGCGACUUCAACAUUCAUCUGGACAAGCCUUAUGCUACAGACUUCCAUUCACUCCUUGCUUCAUUUGAUCUCAAACGACUUACCACCACAAGCACGCACAAAUCUGGCAACCAACUUGACUUAAUUUACACACGCAGUUGUACUGCAGACAAUAUUCUGGUCAAACCCCUACAUAUCUCUGAUCAUUUCUUCAUUACAUUUCAACUACAUUUUGCUACCUGUGUGCCACCAACCCCCAUACCGGUUACUUUUAGACGAAACCUACGCUCCCUUUCCCCCUCCCAUCUUUCCUCCGUUGUAUCCUCCUCUCUUCCCUCACCUACCCAUUUCUCAUCUCUGGAUGUGAAUGCAGCAACUGACACUUUAUGCUCUACUUUAACCUCUUGUCUAGAUGAUAUUUGUCCUCUCUCCUCCAGGCCAGCACGGGCUGCCCCCUCGAACUCCUGGUUAUCCGAUGUUCUUCGUGAACAUCGGACCAAACUCAGGGCAGCUGAGAGAAAAUGG
rnacentral:lncRNA from 1 species